rnacentral:lncRNA from 1 species
AGAGACAUGUCAGCCUGCCCUGCACUUGUGGGGGUGAUGUUCCUGCUGUGUCCUCUCUCAGUGGGUGCUCAAUGAAGAGCUAGCAAACUAAACUGGCUUUACAGCCCCAGAGUCAAGGGGACCUGGGGCAGUUCUAAAAACACUGGAAUCAACCCCUGCACCAGCACACAGGUUCUGUGUCCAGAAGUCCCACAGCAGCAACUUCUGCUUCCGGGAUUGCCUGGAACCAGACAUGGAAACUCACCAGGGAUACCUUCUGGAGAGAGCCCAGGACUGUGGAGGCGAGGCAGCCCAUGGCCGUGAGAGUGGGGAACUCGCCCUCAGAGAGAAUGUGCUGGUCACCCUCGAAGUUCGUCUCAUCAAACAGGAUCCAGCUAGGGAAGGGGAAGAAAUGGAGGGUAUCUGAGCCUACCUGUCCUUGGCCUGCCCAGGUUCCCCUGAGAUACAGAAGAGGGAAUGCAGACUUGAUCAUGAUCCCCUGUCCCAGGGGAGGUGGGAUGAACAGGCACUACAGCAGCAGGGAAUGAGGUCAGACCUAAGAAAAGACUGAAUGAAAUCAUACUGCCCCUAUGGAGGGGAAUUUGGCAAUAUUAGGCAAAACUCCAUGAGUAAUUACUCAGCAAUCUCAUACCUAGGAAUCCAUCCCAAGGACACCAUUUGAAAACAUGAAAUAACACAUGCAGGGGGCUAUUCAUUAUGGCACUUCUGCAAUAGAAAAGGGGGGAAGCAGCCCAGAUGUCCAUCAAUAGGGGAUUGGAGCUGAAUAAAUUAAGAAAAAGUGGGCUGGGCGCGGUGGCUCACGCCUGUAAUCCCAGCACUUUGGGAGGCUGAGGCGGGCAGAUCACGAGGUCAGGAGAUCGAGACCAUCCUGGCUAACACAGUGAAACCCCGUCUCUAUUAAAAAUACAAAAGAUUAGCCAGGCGUGGUGGCGGGCACCUGUAGUCCCAGCUACUCAGGAGGCUGAGGCAGGAGAAUGGCAUGAACCCAGGAGGCGGAGCUUACAGUGAGCUGAGAUCACGCCACUACACUCCAGCCUGGGCAACAGAGCGAGACUCCGUGUCAAAAAAAAAAAAAAAAAAGAAAGAAAAAGUGGAGUAUAAUGCAGCAGUUAAGUGGAAUGAAAAAGAGCUCUUAAAGGGAUAUAAAGUGAUCUCCAAACAGAUGAAAAAAGCAGGUGCAUAACAGUGCUUAUAGCAAACUUCCUUUAAAAAACUGAGAUAUAAUUCACAUGCCAUAAAAUUCACACUUUUUGUUGUUGUUAUUGUUGUUGUUGUUGUUGAGAUGGAGUUUCCCUAUUGUUGCCCAGGCUGGAGUGCAAUGGCGCGAUCUCAGCUCACUGUAACCUCCGCCUCCUGGGUUUAAGCAAUUCUCCUGCAUCAGCCUCCUGAGUAGCUGGGACUACAGGCAUGCGCCACCACACCCAGCUAAUUUUGUAUUUUUAGUAGAGAUGGGGUUUCACCGUGUUGGCCAGGCUGGUCUCAAGCUCCUAACCUCAAGUGAUCCACCCACCUCGGCCUCCCAGAGUGCUGGGAUUACAGGCAUGAGCCACUGCACCUGGCCAAAAUUCACACUUUUAAGGUGUACAAUUUAGUGUUUUUUUUAUUAUAUUAACCCAGUUAUAGUAUGUUCCCUUUUAUGUAA